rnacentral:rRNA from 1 species
GACGAACGCUGGCGGCGUGCUUAACACAUGCAAGUCGAACGGAAAGGCCCUGCUUGCAGGGUACUCGAGUGGGGAACGGGGGAGUAACACGUGGGUGAUCUGCCCUGCACUUCGGGAUAAGCCUGGGAAACUGGGGCUAAUACCGGAUUGGAGCCAUUUUUAGUGUGCUGGUUGGAAAGUUUUUUCGGUGUAGGGUGAGUUCGCGGCCUAUCAGCUUGUUGGUGUGGUAAUGGCCUACCAAGGCGGCGGCGGGUAGCCGGCCUGAGAGGGUGGACGGCGACAUUGAGACUGAGGGACGGCCGAGGUGGCGAAGGGAGGCAGAAGUGGGGAAUAUUGCUCAAGGGGUGCAGGGCUGGUGCAGCAAGGCCGCGGGGGGGAUAACGGCUUUCGCGUUGAAAACACCUUUCGCUAGGGACGAAGCUUUUUGUGACGGUACCUAGAGAAGAAGCACCGGCUAACUACGUG